rnacentral:lncRNA from 1 species
UGACGAGCAUGGGUAGCACACGGGCGUUGUUGUUGUUGCUGUUGUUGUGUUGGUCGGCGGUGGCGGCAGAGGAGAAGCAGAGGGAUUUGAUGAGGGCGGUGGGGACACUCAGUGAGGAGAAGGAGAAGAAAGAAGGAGGAAGAAGAGGAAAAAAAAAUAGUGUAAAUUGGAGGAAGAAGAAGAAAAAAGAAAUAGUGCAACUUCAUCCUAAAGAGUGCAACUUCUACGUAAACAGUGCAACUUCAUCCUAAAGAGUGUAAAUCUGAUUCCAAAGACUGUAAUUUCUGUCUCAAAGAGUGCAACGUUUAUUUAAAAUAGUGUAAAUUUUUUUUAAAAUAGUGCAACAAUAUUUUAACGGUGUAAUUUCAUUAUCUUCUUCAUUCUUAUAUGAUUUUUGAUCUUUUAUGGUGGAAAAAAUAUUUUUUUAUUUUUAUUUUUUUAUAAUUUUUUUGGUCACGAUCUCUCCCUUGCUCUCUAUCGCAACCACCACCCUCGCCGGAGUUUUCUCCCCCCUUUCGCCGAUGUACUUUUCGUC